rnacentral:rRNA from 1 species
UACAGAGGAGGCAAGCGUUGUUCGGAAUCACUGGGCUUAAAGCGCGUGUAGGCGGCUUGGUAAGUAUUCUGUGAAAUCCCACGGCUCACCCGUGGAACUGCAGGGUAUACUGCCUGGCUUGAGGCAGGUAGGGGCCACUGGAACUCUAGGUGGAACGGUGAAAUGUGUAGAUAUCUAGAGGAACGCCCGCGGCGAAAGCGGGUGGCUGGGCCUGUCCUGACGCUGAGACGCGAAAGCGUGGGGAGCAAACGGG